UACCCGGGUAUAACGGAUGUUGUAUAUCGACUGAGACUCGUUAACCCUAAUUCGGCUCCCCCAUUGCAACACGACACCAGCCAUUCCUUCUCUGUCGACGAAGCCUAUCAUUCAAUGAUUCAAUCGGUACUCUUCUUACAGUCAAUAAGACGCUGAAAGAUACAAGUGUCAUGUACAGCAUAUUUACCAGCCCUUUCCAUUGAGAAUCUUUGUUGGGUUAUUACAGAAACCUAAGAUUUGGUGAUGGAAAACUUGAAUUUGAUGUUGCCCUCUAGGUGUUUGAUAAAAUGCCCAUGAGAAGUUCUUUUUCAUAUUAAACACUGUGACACGAGAAACUGUAGGUAGACAGUGAAGACAUUAUGAUGUUGGAAGAUUGAAGAGUUUGAACUCCAUCUCAAACUUUUGGGCAUGGAUGUUUGAAAAAUAUUAAUUGCUUCCUUAGAGCUUCGUGUUUGUAAGUUUGGACUCUAAUCAAAAGACGACAAUUUUUAAGUAAUUUUGACUAUUUGAUCACUCAAUUAUAUCUCAACUCUUAAAAAUGUUAUUAUUUUUAUUUAAUUUUGCGGUUGUUUCUCUCAAAA